rnacentral:rRNA from 1 species
UGCCAGCCGCCGCGGUAAUACGUAGGGAGCAAGCGUUGUUCGGAAUCACUGGGCAUAAAGCGCACGUAGGCGGUCUAGUAAGUCAGAUGUGAAAGCUCCUGGCUCAACCAGGGAAUUGCAUUUGAAACUGCUAGACUUGAGGGCGACAGGGGAGAGUGGAACUCAUGGUGGAGCGGUGAAAUGCGUAGAUAUCACGAGGAACGCCGGUGGCGAAAGCGACUCUCUGGGUCGUUCCUGACGCUGAGGUGCGAAAGCCAGGGUAGCGAACGGGAUUAGAUA